UACGUAGGGUCCGAGCGUUGUCCGGAAUUACUGGGCGUAAAGAGCUCGUAGGUGGUUUGUCGCGUUGUUCGUGAAAACUCACAGCUCAACUGUGGGCGUGCGGGCGAUACGGGCAGACUGGAGUACUGCAGGGGAGACUGGAAUUCCUGGUGUAGCGGUGGAAUGCGCAGAUAUCAGGAGGAACACCUGCGGCGAAGGCGGGUUGCUGGGCUGAUACUGACGCUGAGGCGCGAAAGCCAGGGGAGCGAACGGG
rnacentral:rRNA from 1 species